UACGGAGGGUGCGAGCGUUGUCCGGAAUCACUGGGCGUAAAGGGCGCGUAGGUGGCCUGUGGAAGUCUGCGGUGAAAGCCCGGCGCUCAACGCCGGGUCGGCCGUGGAUACUCUCGGGCUCGAGCUUACUAGAGGCAGAUGGAAUUCCGGGUGUAGCGGUGGAAUGCGUAGAGAUCCGGAAGAACACCGGUGGCGAAGGCGGCGCUCUGGACCGAGACUGACGCUGAGGCGCGAAAGCGUGGGGAGCAAACAGG
rnacentral:rRNA from 1 species